rnacentral:rRNA from 1 species
GACGAACGCUGGCGGCGUGCUUAACACAUGCAAGUCGAGCGGUAAGGCCCUUUCGGGGGUACACGAGCGGCGAACGGGUGAGUAACACGUGGGUGAUCUGCCCUGCACUUCGGGAUAAGCCUGGGAAACUGGGUCUAAUACCGGAUAUGACCAAAGGCUGCAUGGUUUUUGGUGGAAAGGUUUACUGGUGCAGGAUGGGCCCGCGGCCUAUCAGCUUGUUGGUGGGGUAAUGGCCUACCAAGGCGACGACGGGUAGCCGACCUGAGAGGGUGACCGGCCACACUGGGACUGAGACACGGCCCAGACUCCUACGGGAGGCAGCAGUGGGGAAUAUUGCACAAUGGGCGAAAGCCUGAUGCAGCGACGCCGCGUGAGGGAUGACGGCCUUCGGGUUGUAAACCUCUUUCAGCAGGGACGAAGCGCAAGUGACGGUACCUGCAGAAGAAGCACCGGCCAACUACGUGCCAGCAGCCGCCGUAAAAC